rnacentral:lncRNA from 1 species
CUCUUUUUCUCGUUUCUUUGUUGUGACUGCAAGUGACCAUGAGAAAGGAUGGGUCCUUGGCUGGGGAUUUUUGGUGUAAGUGAGUGUGUGUGCGUGUGUGUGUUUGUCCUCUCCAGGCUGUGGUUGGUUCAGGGUCACAGCGGUUGAGCUGGUAAUGCUUCUAUUUCGUACUGAGCAGCUGACGCAAUGACAGCAAGCGUGUGUGUGUGUGAGAGAGAGUGUGUGUGUUGCAUGAUUUGAAAUUGUGAGCAUGUUGGCUGGAGUAUGAGUGCACAUAAAAAGGAAUGUGUGCCUACAAAAUGUUUUCGGAGUGUAUAACCUAUGUGUCGUGUGGUGUGUGGGUAACAGGCUCUACGCUGUGUCGUCGCCGGGGGUUCGUCAAGGAGCGAGGCCGCGCCGGGGUGAGUGUGCAGGCGGCCCCGCGCUGACAGGGACACCGGGCUGGAAGGAG